UACGUAGGGGGCAAGCGUUGUCCGGAAUCAUUGGGCGUAAAGCGCACGUAGGCGGCCCUGUAAGUCCGUUGUGAAAGUCAAAGGCUCAACCUUUGAAUGCCGAUGGAUACUGCAGGGCUAGAGUCCGGAAGAGGCGAGUGGAAUUCCUGGUGUAGCGGUGGAAUGCGCAGAUAUCAGGAGGAACACCAAUAGCGAAGGCGGCUCGCUGGGACGGUACUGACGCUAAGGUGCGAAAGCGUGGGGAGCGAACAGG
rnacentral:rRNA from 1 species